UGAGAAGUAGGGAGAACCUUCCUUCUCCGCCCCUGGACGGUGGUUUUUCUUUUUCUUUCUGAGACAGGGUCUCGCUCUGUCGCCCAGGCUGGAGUGCAGUGGCGUGAUUUCGGCUCACUGCGGCCCCGACCAACCUCUCGGGCUCGAGCGAUCCUCCCACCUCCUCCCCAGUAGCUGGGAUUACAGGCACACGCCACGACGCCCGGGUAGCAUUUUUUUUUUUAACAGUCGGCGUCUUGCCAUGUUGCCCAGGCUGGUCUUGAACUCCUGGCCUCGAGAGAGCCUCCCGCCGUGGCCCCCCCAAAGUGCUGGGAUUACAGGCGUGAGCCACCGCGCCCAGCCGAGAUUAUUUCUGUCACUAACAAUAAUGUGGCAUUCUGGAACGCUUUCUAUGUGCCACAUACUGUUCUAAGAAUUUUAAAUGUAUUUACUCAAUCUUCAAUACAUACUUACAGAGCACUCUCAGAGAAGUUGCCUCCCCCCCCAUGUCUGGUUAUUGUCUGUCUGUACACCCAUCUCUCCACUCCGAAUGCGAUGGUCGUCUCCACAGCUCGUGUUCUUCAGUUGUCUUCCCUACGCUGCUGCCUCGGCAGUCACCAUCUCCUCAGGAAGCAGUCCCACCCGCCCCUUUCUCUUCCACGGCAUCCACACCAUCCGGAUGCCUGGAUUCAAAUGCCACGUCACCACUUGCCAGCUGCAGCGCCUUCGACAAGUUUCUCAAUCACUCUGUGCCUCAGCGUCCUCUGUAAAACGGCGAAUGAUGGUAGUGCCUACCUCAUAAGCUUGUGAGGAUUAAGUGAGAGGCUAUCCAGUGUUUAGGAGAGUGUCUGGCAUAAAUAAAGCGCCUAGUGUUAGCUACCAUCGUCA